UUAAAUAGUUUAAUGUGAUUUACUCUGUCAUGGAUGCGUUUGUCUUAGUGUAUUUUGCAUUACUUUUGUUGUAGAUUAAAUGGCAUCUAGCAACACCACACCAUUUUGUUGGAGGUAUGCCCUAGAUAAAAACACGUAAUGCGACGAUUUCAUCUCAUUCGAGACUUCAUUAACCGGGGUGAGAUCAAGAUAUGCAAAAUACACACGGAUCUGAACAUUUUUGAUCUAUUGACAAAACCACUCCUGCAGUGCAUGUAAGAGCUAUGGGUAUUAGGUACCUUCUAGAUUGACUCUAGUGCAAGUGGGAGACUGUUGGAGGUAUGCCCUACAGGCAAUCAUAGAGGUGAUGAUAUCUGAUUGUAUCCAUGAUUUGUAUAUUAUGUUCCUUGAAUAUCCAUUAAAGGCUACUUGAAUUAAUUUGCAAUUAUGUGAAUUGUAUGUGAAACUCUUUACUUGUAUGGUUAUUCUAAAAAGUUGUCCCUAGUCGGAGUUCAUGUGUGGACACACAUGAAUAUUAGACUAGUACAUGUAUUAGUUGAUGACUAUGUUUCACAAGUCAUGGACAUGGAGAUGUCAAACUAAUGAUGUAGGCAUAUGUAGAGACAUGUGCUAGGACUGACCCAACAUGAGAAGUAGUUCUCUCUUUACAGAACAAGUACGCUUUGU
rnacentral:lncRNA from 1 species